CAAUAGCGUAUAUUAAAGUUGUUGCAGUUAAAAAGCUCGUAGUUGGAUUUGUGGUUUGUCCCGCCUGCCGGGCCUUUUUGGGCCUGCGCGGCGCGGGUCAUCCAUCCUUGGGUGGAAUCCGUGUGGCAUUAGGUUGUCGCGCGGGGGAUGCCCAUCUUUUACUGUGAAAAAAUUAGAGUGUUCAAAGCAGUCUUACGACGUUGAAUAUAUUAGCAUGGAAUAAUGAUAUAGGACCUUGGUACUAUUUUGUUGGUUUGCGCACUGAGGUAAUGAUUAACAGGGACAGUUGGGGGUAUUCGUAUUCCAUUGUAAGAGGUGAAAUUCUUGGAUUUUUGGAAGACGAACUACUGCGAAAGCAUUUACCAAGGAUGUUUUCAUUAA
rnacentral:rRNA from 1 species